rnacentral:rRNA from 1 species
GUCCUUGCCGUAAACGAUGUAUACUUGAUGUAGUCAGGCUCAACCCUGACUGUGUCGAAGCUAACGCGAUAAGUAUACCGCCUGAGGAGUACGCUCGCAAGGGUGAAACUCAAAAAGAAUUGACGGGGGCCCGCACAAGCAGUGGAGCAUGUGGUUUAAUUCGAUGCAACGCGAAGAACCUUACCCAGGCUCGAAAAUGUAGAGGCAAUCAACAGAGAUGUUGAGUUCCGUAAGGACUUCUAUAUAGGUGCUGCAUGGCUGUCGU